AUUGAACGCUGGCGGCAGGCCUAACACAUGCAAGUCGAGCGGAUGAAGGGAGCUUGCUCCUGGAUUCAGCGGCGGACGGGUGAGUAAUGCCUAGGAAUCUGCCUGGUAGUGGGGGAUAACGUCCGGAAACGGGCGCUAAUACCGCAUACGUCCUGAGGGAGAAAGUGGGGGAUCUUCGGACCCCACGCUAUCAGAUGAGCCUAGGUCGGAUUAGCUAGUUGGCGGGGUAAAGGCCUACCAAGGCGACGAUCCGUAACUGGUCUGAGAGGAUGAUCAGUCACACUGGAACUGAGACACGGUCCAGACUCCUACGGGAGGCAGCAGUGGGGAAUAUUGGACAAUGGGCGAAAGCCUGAUCCAGCCAUGCCGCGUGUGUGAAGAAGGUCUUCGGAUUGUAAAGCACUUUAAGUUGGGAGGAAGGGCAGUAAGUUAAUACCUUGCUGUUUUGACGUUACCAACAGAAUAAGCACCGGCUAACUUCGUG
rnacentral:rRNA from 1 species